rnacentral:lncRNA from 1 species
UCAGACAUUUUUGAGUGUGAACAUUUCUUAAACAUGCAUGCAACACAAGGAAUAAGUUCCUGUUGCAGAUUCAAGACUUUCAGUGAGUCUUUCCAACAGGACAAUAACCCAAAAGGAGUUUGACCAGGAUUCCUAGCAAGGGGUUUUUACAAGUGGCUGGGACACUGACAAAUGAGCUAUUAUUUCACUUAUUCAGGUGGUUUUGUCCAUUGUAAAGACAGAGCAGGAAACAGGAAUUUCUGUAAAUGGUGGAUAUGUAGCAUUUUAUUUUGUUAUAUCAGCAAAACUGUAUUGUAUCUAGAGAGAUAAUGCCAGACAUAAUCAUAUGGAAAAUAGUAUUAAGGAAUAUAUAUUAGUUUAGCAAUGUACUAGCUGCCAUAGAAAAUGUUCAUGUCAUAACCAUUAGUACUUGAUUAGUAAUGCUGGCAGAAGCAGGAAUUUUUUUCUUCCCUUUUUUUUCUCCCUGUGACUUCAGCAUUGGUAGUCCUGGUGACCAGAAGGCUCACUCCAUCCAGAAACUGUGCAAGCUUUUCCCUGUACCUCAGUCCUAUAGAGGACAGGACGUCUUUAAAUUACUUUUAUGCUCUUGGUUCUUUUCCAGUCUGUGAAUAAGAGUCAAACAUCAAAGGAAUAAUGACUCAGUCACCACCAACUAGACUGAUACCCUCAAAUUAUUUAAAGUAGAUAAAUAAACCAUGGUGAACUCAUAAUUGUGAUUGAUAGUCAUAUUUUAAAAUUUGUAUUAAACACAGGUUAUCUAUGAUUCUAAGUUGUGCCUGGUACCUAUGUUGUGCCAGGUACCCUGCAGACACAAUAUUCUGCUUAACUUUUCCAGAUGAUAUGGCCCUGCAGACUUGAAAUCUGCCUACAACUUGAGCUGGGGUUGAGUGACUGUGAGCUGUUUGGUUUGAGAAAGAACAUAGUUUGACUGAUAUGAGGAAAUUUUUCCCACUCAAAAUCCAAAUGUUAAUGCUGCCUCGUGCUGUGACUCUGAUCUUUCUGCUGUUCUGGUUUAUCUGUUGAGUAGACUGACAUGCAAGUAUUAACUUUCUCUUUUAAAUACUGCCUCUGAUAUGACACAAACCCACUGUGGGCCAAGAAGACCUUGGUAUAAU